rnacentral:rRNA from 1 species
UACGUAGGGUGCAAGCGUUAAUCGGAAUUACUGGGCGUAAAGCGUGCGCAGGCGGCUUUGCAAGACAGAUGUGAAAUCCCCGGGCUUAACCUGGGAACUGCAUUUGUGACUGCAUGGCUGGAGUGCGGCAGAGGGGGGAUGGAAUUCCGCGUGUAGCAGUGAAAUGCGUAGAUAUGCGGAGGAACACCGAUGGCGAAGGCAAUCCCCUGGCUGCACUGACGCUCAUGCACGAAAGCGUGGGGAGCAAACAGG